AGAGUUUGAUCAUGGCUCAGAGCGAACGCUGGCGGCAGGCUUAACACAUGCAAGUCGAGCGGGCGUAGCAAUACGUCAGCGGCAGACGGGUGAGUAACGCGUGGGAACGUACCUUUUGGUUCGGAACAACACAGGGAAACUUGUGCUAAUACCGGAUAAGCCCUUACGGGGAAAGAUUUAUCGCCGAAAGAUCGGCCCGCGUCUGAUUAGCUAGUUGGUGAGGUAAUGGCUCACCAAGGCGACGAUCAGUAGCUGGUCUGAGAGGAUGAUCAGCCACAUUGGGACUGAGACACGGCCCAAACUCCUACGGGAGGCAGCAGUGGGGAAUAUUGGACAAUGGGGGCAACCCUGAUCCAGCCAUGCCGCGUGAGUGAUGAAGGCCCUAGGGUUGUAAAGCUCUUUUGUGCGGGAAGAUAAUGACGGUACCGCAAGAAUAAGCCCCGGCUAACUUCGUGCCAGCAGCCGCGGUAAUACGAAGGGGGCUAGCGUUGCUCGGAAUCACUGGGCGUAAAGGGUGCGUAGGCGGGUUUUUAAGUCAGGGGUGAAAUCCUGGAGCUCAACUCCAGAACUGCCUUUGAUACUGAAGAUUUUGAGUCCGGGAGAGGUGAGUGGAACUGCGAGUGUAGAGGUGAAAUUCGUAGAUAUUCGCAAGAACACCAGUGGCGAAGGCGGCUCACUGGCCCGGUACUGACGCUGAGGCACGAAAGCGUGGGGAGCAAACAGGAUUAGAUACCCUGGUAGUCC
rnacentral:rRNA from 1 species